CCUACUGGACGCAGCAGUGGGGAAUAUUGGACAAUGGGGGGAACCCUGAUCCAGCGACGCCGCGUGAGUGAAGAAGUGUUUCGGUAUGUAAAGCUCUAUCAGCAGGGAAGAAAAUGACGGUACCUGAGUAAGAAGCCCCGGCUAACUACGUGCCAGCAGCCGCGGUAAUACGUAGGGGGCAAGCGUUAUCCGGAUUUACUGGGUGUAAAGGGAGCGUAGACGGCAGUGCAAGUCUGGAGUGAAAGACGGGGGCUCAACCCCCGGACUGCUCUGGAAACUGUAGGGCUGGAGUGCAGGAGAGGUAA
rnacentral:rRNA from 1 species